AGAAACUUAGGUUAAACAUUAAACCGAGGGCCUUCAAAGCCCCUAACAGAAAACAAUUUCUAGUUUCUG
rnacentral:tRNA from 1 species